rnacentral:rRNA from 1 species
AUCGGUCCAAUCCUUAAAGUCAUCCUCAGUUCGGACUGGGGUCUGNAACCCGACCCCACGAAGCUGGAUUCGCUAGUAAUCGCGCAUCAGCCAUGGCGCGGUGAAUACGUUCCCGGGCCUUGUACACACCGCCCGUCAAGCCAUGAAAGCCGGGGGGCGCCUGAAGUCCGUGACCGCGAGGGUCGGCCUAGGGUGAAACCGGUGAUUGGGGCUAAGUCGUAACAAGGUAAC